UUCUCUUUUUCAUAGGUGAGGAAACUAAAUGAGACUUUUCCAGGAGUUACUGUUGUAAACUGCAGAACCUGAAUUUAAAUGCCAGUCAAAUUCAUGGAUAAGUAUGGCCUCUCUAUAUAGGAAAUUCCUCUUCAUUUUAUCAUCUAGCAAACAGGUACUGGUGCCAGGGCAUUACGCUGGGUACAAGAUAUGCAGUGAUGAGCAGAAAAGAUGCUGUCUGUGCUCACAUGGAGCUUCCAGUCUUUAACAAUCAGUCAGAACUGUGUCAUUCCAGAUGUGAGUCUUGCUUUGUUGCCCAGGCCGGAGUGCAGUGGCACGAUCUCAGCUCACUGCAGUCUUCGCCUCCCAGGUUCAGGUGACCCUCCUGCCUCAGCCCACCUAGUAGCUGGGAUUACGGGCACGCAUCACCAUGCCCGGCUAAUUUUCGUAUUUUUAAUAGAGACGGGGUUUCACCAUGUUGGCCAGGCUGGUCUCGAACUCCUGACCUCAGGUGUUCCACUCGCCUCAGCCUCCCAAAGUGCUGGGAUUACAGGUGUGAGACACCGCACCCGGCCAAUAUUUGUAAAUUUUAAGGGAAAAUGCAUCGGAAGAAAUUAGGCGGUCUGGGGAGGAGUAAUUUUUCUUUUUUUUUUUUUUUUUUUGGAGACAGAGUCUCGCUCUGUUGCCCAGGAUGGAGUGCAGUGGUGCCAUCUCGGCUCACUGCAAACUCCGCCUCCCAGGUUCAAGCAAUUCUCGUGCCUCAGCCUCCCAAGUAGCUGGGGUUACAGGUGCAUGACCACGGUCGGCUAACUUUUGUAUUUUUAGUAGAGUCGGGGUUUCAUCAUAUUGACCAGGUGGGUCUCGAACUCCUGACCUCAAGCAAUCUGCCUGCCUCAGCCUCCCAAAGUGCUGGGAUUACAGGCGUGAGCCACCGUGCCCGGCUCAGGAGUGAUCCUAAUGACAGUGACUACUUCUAGAGGGAUCAAGUGGAUGAACCGGAGUGACUUAUGGAUUGUGACAGGCCUUUCAUGGAAGUUGCCAUGGUUCUGCAUCCCUAAACCAGUGAGACACAAUGGCAAGUUUCUCUUCCUACAUCUAUUUCAACCACCAGCUUAACUCCCCUUCCUGAGUGCAGCUAAAGCUGUGGCCAUCAGGCAGGUGAAGCUUGGUGCCUCCUGUUCAACCAACAGGAAUGACUGAAGCAGGAUGGGGGUGGGACCAGCAGUAAGAAGCCCAGAGCAAUGACCAGAGCUCCCUUUCUGGGGAGAGCUGGGCUGGAGAAAAUCUAUGCACUGCUGAUCUCCUAAGGAGAGAGCUUCAAGGAUGAAAAGAUGGUGUCCCACAGGCCUGAGGCUGCACAGAUCUAGCUUUUGCCAUUGAGGACAGCAGGGACAGUAAAGCUUCCCAGAUCCCCUUUCAACCUGCCAGCUGGCAUGUCACCUACCAUAGAGGAAGCCAAUCCUAGACCUUGUACUACUUGAGAGAUUGCAAAAGUAUCCUGUUAGCUGGGUCUGGACCCCAAUGAUAAAUAGACUCAUGAGUGAGCUAAGGAAAGGAACUGGCCCAUCUAAAAGGAACCGGCCCAAGGAAAAGCAGGAAUCUAUGAAGGCAUUCAAUAACUUGGACCAAAAAGGAACAAGAAGGUAAAAUUGAAUACUUGGGUGAUGGUUACACUAAAAGCCUAGAUUUCCCCACUACAAGAUAUAUCCAUGUAACAAAACUGCACUUGUACCCCUUAAAUUUAUAUACUUAAAUAAAAUAAAAUAGAAGA